rnacentral:tRNA from 1 species
GGAGGCGUUUCUCGUCUGGUGACGGGCGCAGUCUUCAAAACUGCUGUGGGUGAGUACCUCACCCAGGCGGGUUCGAUUCCCGUCCGCCUCCGC